rnacentral:rRNA from 1 species
UACGUAGGGUGCGAGCGUUAAUCGGAAUUACUGGGCGUAAAGCGUGCGCAGGCGGUUUUGUAAGCCAGAUGUGAAAUCCCCGGGCUUAACCUGGGAAUGGCAUUUGGGACUGCAAGGCUGGAGUGCGGCAGAGGAGACUGGAAUUCCUGGUGUAGCAGUGAAAUGCGUAGAUAUCGGGAGGAACACCAGUGGCGAAGGCGGCGACCUGGGCAGAUACUGACACUGAGGUGCGAAAGCGUGGGGAGCAAACAGG